rnacentral:rRNA from 1 species
UACGGGGGGGGCAAGCGUUGUUCGGAAUUACUGGGCGUAAAGGGCUCGUAGGUGGCCAACUAAGUCAGACGUGAAAUCCCCCGGCUUAACCAGGGAACUGCGUCUGAUACUGGAUGGCUUGAGAUUGGGAGAGGGAUGCGGAAUUCCAGGUGUAGCGGUGAAAUGCGUAGAUAUCUGGAGGAACACCGGUGGCGAAGGCGGCAUCCUGGACCAACACUGACACUGAUGAGCGAAAGCCAGGGGAGCAAACGGA